UACGGGGGGGGCAAGCGUUGUUCGGAAUUACUGGGCGUAAAGGGCGCGUAGGCGGCCUUCUAAGUCGGACGUGAAAUCCCUCGGCUUAACCGAGGAACUGCGUCCGAUACUGAAAGGCUUGAAUCCGGGAGAGGGAUGUGGAAUUCCAGGUGUAGCGGUGAAAUGCGUAGAUAUCGUGAGGAAGACCAGUUGCGAAGGCGGAUUUCUGGGCAGUUCCUGACACUGAGGCACGAAGGCCAGGGGAGCAAACGGG
rnacentral:rRNA from 1 species